rnacentral:misc_RNA from 1 species
GAUGAAGAACGUAGCGAAAUGCGAUAAGUAAUGUGAAUUGCAGAAUUCAGUGAAUCAUCGAAUCUUUGAACGCAUCUUGCGCUCCUUGGUAUUCUGAGGAGCAUGCCUGUUUGAGUGUCAUUAAAUUCUCAACCGCACUGACUUCGAAUUGGUGUGGCUUGGAUUUGGGGGGAAAAUUGUUGUGGGCUUUUUUGUAUAGUCUGCUCCCCUGAAAUUGAUUAGCGGUACCUUUGUGGAACUGUCUACAGGUGUGAUAAUUAUCUACAUCCUAGACAUCUGCUGGAAUGCUGCUUUCUAAACCUUACUUGUAUUGACAAUCUUGACCUCAAAUCAGGUAGGACUACCCGCUGAACUUAAGCAUAUCAAUAAGCGGAGGA